rnacentral:rRNA from 1 species
UGGGGAAUAUUGCACAAUGGGCGCAAGCCUGAUGCAGCCAUGCCGCGUGUAUGAAGAAGGCCUUCGGGUUGUAAAGUACUUUCAGCGGGGAGGAAGGGAGUAAAGUUAAUACCUUUGCUCAUCGACGUUACCCGCAGAAGAAGCACCGGCUAACUCCGUGCCAGCAGCCGCGGUAAUACGGAGGGUGCAAGCGUUAAUCGGAAUUACUGGGCGUAAAGCGCACGCAGGCGGUUUGUUAAGUCAGAUGUGAAAUCCCCGGGCUCAACCGGGGAGGGUCAUUGGAAACUGGGAGACUUGAGUGCAGAAGAGGAGAGUGGAAUUCCUUGUGUAGCGGUGAAAUGCGUAGAUAUAUGGAGGAACACCAGUGGCGAAGGCGGCUCUCUGGUCUGUAACUGACGCUGAGGCUCGAAAGCGUGGGGAGCAAACAGG